rnacentral:rRNA from 1 species
ACACAUGCAAGUCGAGCGGAGAUGAGGUGCUUGCACCUUAUCUUAGCGGCGGACGGGUGAGUAAUGCUUAGGAAUCUGCCUAUUAGUGGGGGACAACAUUCCGAAAGGAAUGCUAAUACCGCAUACGUCCUACGGGAGAAAGCAGGGGAUCUUCGGACCUUGCGCUAAUAGAUGAGCCUAAGUCGGAUUAGCUAGUUGGUGGGGUAAAGGCCUACCAAGGCGACGAUCUGUAGCGGGUCUGAGAGGAUGAUCCGCCACACUGGGACUGAGACACGGCCCAGACUCCUACGGGAGGCAGCAGUGGGGAAUAUUGGACAAUGGGGGGAACCCUGAUCCAGCCAUGCCGCGUGUGUGAAGAAGGCCUUAUGGUUGUAAAGCACUUUAAGCGAGGAGGAGGCUACUGAGACUAAUACUCUUGGAUAGUGGACGUUACUCGCAGAAUAAGCACCGGCUAACUCUGUGCCAGCAGCCGCGGUAAUACAGAGGGUGCGAGCGUUAAUCGGAUUUACUGGGCGUAAAGCGUGCGUAGGCGGCUUUUUAAGUCGGAUGUGAAAUCCCCGAGCUUAACUUGGGAAUUGCAUUCGAUACUGGGAAGCUAGAGUAUGGGAGAGGAUGGUAGAAUUCCAGGUGUAGCGGUGAAAAUGCGUAGAGAUCUGGAGGAAUACCGAUGGCGAAAGCAGCCAUCUGGCCUAAUACCGACGCUGAGGUACGAAAGCAUGGGGAGCUAACAGGAUUACAUACCCUGGUAGUCUAUGCCGUAAACGAUG